UCGAAUACUUAGGGUUUGCUCGUCUUCUCGAAUCCGUGGUCACUCUCAGUCUCGAAUCUGCCUCGUCUUCAAUCCGUCGUCUCUCUCGGUCUCGAAUCCGCCUUCUCUCUUAGUCUCUCUCGAAUAGUUAGGGUUUGCUGUCUCUCGGUCUCGAAUCUACCUUCUCUCUCAGUCUCUCUCGAAGUGCUUAAGAGAGAAUAAAAAUCUUGGGAAGGAUAAAUCACCAUCACACACUGGAGUUCGAAGACUGUCCAAGCACUAAUUUGCACGCAAAAUUGGUUGACUUGUGCACCACUUAGUUCUUGGGAGGUCAAGGAGCAUGUAGAACCCGUUGACAUCGAAGGUAACCCUCUUCCUUCAACUUCAGCAACUUAAGCAUAUGGACUCCCACCCUAUGCAUUGAAAACUCUCCUUAUGCAUUGCUGCAGGGCUGGAAACUUCUCCAACACCACUGUGCUGGACCAUGUAUUUAUGGGCUGGAGAGAUGGACCCUCGUGUUAUUUUCCGCAACAUUGUCCAGAGGCCGCGGCAUAAAGCUACUGGAGCAAUUGCAUGAAAGGGAACAGGCCAUACAUGAGUUGGAAAGGAAGAUGGAAGAAAAAGAUUGGGAGCUGAAAUAAAUUGGAGAGCAUUUCAAUUUUCAAUGGCUAGGGCCUUAGCAAGAACUUGCAUGAUAGUGUAU